UCCAAGCUCAUUCCCUUUUCCUUAUCUUAAUUUAGAAAUCCUAAACCGAUAAAUGUACACUGAAAAGCUUCAGUAGCAACAGACACAUAUACGACCCACCCCCUGUAUUUCAUCUUCGUCAUGGACCUAAGUAGUUAGUCCUAGGAGACAAGCUACAACAACCGUUGAUGCUUCUUCAACUCCUCCUCUCACCAUCAGCAGGGAACUAGCCGAAAAACGCACAACCAAAACCCGCCUCUCACCACCAGCUCCUCGCCACUUCGCCCGACCAGCGAAAACUCCAAAACCACCACCUUAUAACCGUUACCUUUCUCACCAGACCCUCUCCAACCAAAGCUCGUCGGAAAAACAAACUCCAGCAGAAAACCACAAACUCGGAGUCGCCGUAGAUCGCCACCAAAACUUGUCAGAAUCUAGCAGUAACCUUCGAACAAUACCCCACGAAACCGGCUAGAUCUCCACCUGAACUCAAAAGUCAGCCGUCACCUUCACUAAAGAGAACGCGCAGAUUUCAUCCAACAAAGGAGCUCUUUAGUUGUUUUCAUUUUUAGAUCUCCAGAAUUGUUAGUUCUCGUUUAGAUUCAAAAAAUUCCGAAACAUACAAACAUUGAAGAAAUUUGUUGAUUCUUCAUUUUAAUUCUUGAUUCUGGUGCUAAAUCAUUGGUGUUCGUUUGAAUUUGGAGUCAUCUUGUGUUUGGAUCACUUUUGGAAUGCCCGUGCGUGUCGAGUUCCAUCCGGGUUCUAGCAUUUUGAGGUCUAUUUUCCCUUAUUUUGAUGUUCUGCCUAAUAUCGUGUUUUCCUUUGUUUCAUAGAUUGGUG
rnacentral:lncRNA from 1 species